CCCUCCUUCGAAGGCGUGUCUUUGCCUCCCAUGUCUUGGCACGUAAGAACUGGAGGUAGAGUACAAAG
rnacentral:snoRNA from 11 species